GGGUCGUUAGCUCAGCGGUAGAGCAGGAGACUCUUAAUCUCUUGGUCCAGGGUUCGAAUCCCUGACGGCCCAUCA
rnacentral:tRNA from 1 species